AGUGAACGCUGGCGGCGUGCUUAACACGUGCAAGUCGAACGAGAACGGAUUAUAGCUUGCUAUAAUUGUCAGCUAAGUGGCGCACGGGUGAGUAAUGUAUAGGUAAUAUGCCUCUUACUAAGGGAUAACAAAUGGAAACGUUUGCUAAUACCUUAUACUCCUUAUUAACAGAAGUUAAUAAGGGAAAGAUUUAUUGGUAAGAGAUUAGCCUGUAUUGUAUCAGUUAGUUGGUGGGGUAAUGGCUUACCAAGACUAAGACACAUAACUGGUUUGAGAGGAUGAUCAGUCACACUGGAACUGAGACACGGUCCAGACUCCUACGGGAGGCAGCAGUGGGGAAUAUUGCACAAUGGACGAAAGUCUGAUGCAGCAACGCCGCGUGGAGGACGACACAUUUCGGUGCGUAAACUCCUUUUAUAUGAGAAGAUAAUGACGGUAUUAUAUGAAUAAGCACCGGCUAACUCCGUGCCAGCCGCCGCCGUAA
rnacentral:rRNA from 1 species